rnacentral:rRNA from 1 species
UGGGGAAUUUUCCGCAAUGGGCGAAAGCCUGACGGAGCAAGACCGCGUGAGGGAGGAAGGCCCUUGGGUUGUAAACCUCUUUUCUCAGGGAAGAAGAAAGUGACGGUACCUGAGGAAUCAGCCUCGGCUAACUCCGUGCCAGCAGCCGCGGUAAUACGUAGGGGGCGAGCGUUGUCCGGAAUUAUUGGGCGUAAAGAGCGUGUAGGCGGCCUGGUAAGUCUGCCGUGAAAACCUGGGGCUCAACCCUGGGCGUGCGGUGGAUACUGCUAGGCUAGAGGAUGGUAGAGGCGAGUGGAAUUCCCGGUGUAGCGGUGAAAUGCGCAGAUAUCGGGAGGAACACCAGUAGCGAAGGCGGCUCGCUGGGCCAUUCCUGACGCUGAGACGCGAAAGCGUGGGGAGCAAACAGGAUUAGAUACCCCCGUAGUCC